rnacentral:lncRNA from 1 species
GAUUUCUCUACAAGAAGAAAGACAAAUCAUAGAAAUUGGCAGGCUGCAUGGUGAUCCAGUUGAGAAAAGAAUGUGACUGCACCAUACUUCUGCUAAGAGUCUGUGAGUAGCUCUAAAAUUCAAACAAGAAAAAGCAGCUCAUUUCAAAGACUUUAAAAGGCAACAGAAUAAUUGCAUGAUAUUUCUUAGGGUCAGUGUAGAUUAACAUUAGUAUGUCAUAUUUUCCCAGUUAAAUCUGCAGAGCCACUUUAUUGUAAUUGUCAUCAAUGACUCUAAGGCACUGUAACAUUUUCAAUCAUAAAAGGGAUUAAAGCAGCAAUUUUUACUCUGUUUGCUAAAGUAGGAAAUCUAUUAGAAAAUAUUAGAAAGAUUAUCAGCUACUAGGUUUGAAACAGAAAGGGAUUUCAUUUGAGUCCCUCUGAAGUCUUCAUUAUUUAGAAGUUCUUGUUCCUCUAACUUUAGAAAAUCACUGCCUUAACUUUCCAUUUUGUUUAAGUCUAGGUAUUGCUACUUCUAAAAUGAAUUUCAGUAGCUAAAGGCUUAAUCUAUUUAGUAAUUACUGGAACCAUUUCCUGAAAUUCUGAAAAAAUUAAAAGUUUCAAAAUAAGAGUCUUGUGGAUUUAAUCACCUUUCUGCUCCCAAAUUAAUUAUACAUGUAGUCAGGAUCAAAUGAUUGUGUAUAUACUGUAUGUAUUUUAUUUGUUUGUUUUUACCAUUAUCAGUGCUAAUUCACUCAACAAGGGAUAUCCCAAAUGUGUGGAAAAAGAGCCAGGCAUCCCAUUCUAGAUUUGAUGUGGAUGACAGGUUUGACAGGAAGAAUAUGAUUUACAGAUUGAAGAAUAGGAUAUCAAAUUUGUUGAGAGAAGUCUAUUGGCAUUUCACUUCACUUGUCAGGCUGCAUAUAAAGGCAAAGAUUGGAGAUCUACAAGUGAAAAGAAAUAUUUCAACAGACAAUGCCUGGUACUUUGAAUCUGAUCACUUUACAAACAAGCAGAUGCUUUCUCUAUUGUACGGAUGACCUCAUCAGGGAAAGUGGAUUAAGCUCUGGAUCACUCUACUCAGAGUCAUCCUCCAGCACUUCUGAAAUCACAGGCCUAUUCUUCUGCUCUACUCUUCCCUUAAAAAAACAAGGACAAUUCUAAAUAACGUUCAUCUCAUUAAUUAAAAAAAACAAAUAGGUAAGUAUUUAUACCCAUAGUUAAAUGUAAAUAAUGUUUCAUUAAGUAUGAAUCAUUAAGUUGCUUUCACAAUGAUUUUAGAGCAAACUGUAUUUGGGGCAGACAUUAUGCUAGAAAUUCUUUCAUGGCUUAUUUAAUUCUCACAAUAUUCUAGAACUGCUACCCCCUUUUUAAACAUAAGAUAAGCACUGGUUAGAAAGAUAACAUAACUUGCUAAAGAUCAACAGUAAAAAAAUCUAUUUACAGCUAAUCAAAAUUGGCUUUAACUGAAACAAGGUAGGUUUUUGUAUUACAAAGAAGCUAAAGACGUCAUAUGACAUACAGUUGUGUUUCAUUAUCAGUCAUUAACUCCACCGUCUUCCAGAUUAUCUGGCAAAAUAUGCCAUUUAAAAGAUAGGAGCCCACUUUUCCAGAAUGACCUGUCUUUUCUAUUUUGUUCUUGUUGAUCACCUAACAAAAUUAAAGAAGAAUGUACCUUGUCUCACAACAUAUUUUAAAACAAUAUCUUUCACUGUUGUUUUUAAUUUUUUUUUCUUUUCUUUUUUUGCAGAACUCUCUUCCUUAAACAUCUAUUAAAAAAAAUUAGCAUUUAACAGAUGAAGGACUUCACUGGUGGUCCAGUGGUUAAGAUUCUGUGCUUCCACUGCAGGGAGCACAGGUAUGAUCCCUGAUUGGGGAACUGAAAUCCCACAUGCCAUAAGACAUGGCCAAAAAUAAAUAAGUAAAAUAAUAAAAUAAAUGAAAACA